rnacentral:rRNA from 1 species
GAUGAACGCUAGCGGCAGGCUUAACACAUGCAAGUCGAGGGGUAGAGUUCUUCGGAAUUUGAGACCGGCGCACGGGUGCGUAACGCGUAUGCAAUCUGCCUUCCACAGAGGGAUAGCCCAGAGAAAUUUGGAUUAAUACCUCAUAGCAUUACAGGAUGGCAUCAUCCGGUAAUUAAAGUCACAACGGUGGAAGAUGAGCAUGCGUCCCAUUAGCUAGUUGGUAAGGUAACGGCUUACCAAGGCGACGAUGGGUAGGGGUCCUGAGAGGGAGAUCCCCCACACUGGUACUGAGACACGGACCAGACUCCUACGGGAGGCAGCAGUGAGGAAUAUUGGUCAAUGGGCGCAAGCCUGAACCAGCCAUGCCGCGUGCAGGAUGACGGUCCUAUGGAUUGUAAACUGCUUCUGUACGGGAAGAAACACUGAUUCGUGAAUCAGCCUGACGGUACCGUAAGAAUAAGGAUCGGCUAACUCCGUGCCAGCAGCCGCGGUAAUACGGAGGAUCCAAGCGUUAUCCGGAAUCAUUGGGUUUAAAGGGUCUGUAGGCGGUCUUGUAAGUCAGUGGUGAAAGCCCAUCGCUCAACGGUGGAACGGCCAUUGAUACUGCAGGACUUGAAUUACCGGGAAGUAACUAGAAUAUGUAGUGUAGCGGUGAAAUGCUUAGAUAUUACAUGGAAUACCAAUUGCGAAGGCAGGUUACUACCGGUGGAUUGACGCUGAUGGACGAAAGCGUGGGGAGCGAACAGG